UCUGGAUUCGACGGGAUUUGCGAAACCCAAGGUGCAUGCCGAGGGGCGGUUGGCCUCGUAAAAAGCCGCAAAAAAAUAGUCGCAAACGACGAAAACUACGCUUUAGCAGCUUAAUAACCUGCUCUGAGCCCUCUCUCCCUAGCUUCCGCUCUUAAGACGGGGAUCAAAGAGAGGUCAAACCCAAAAGAGAUCGCGUGGAGGCCCUGCCUGGGGUUGAAGCGUUAAAACUAAUCAGGCUAGUCUGGUAGUGGCGUGUCUGUCCGCAGGUGCCAGGCGAAAAUUCUCCAUCGGUGAUUACCAGAGUCAUCCGAUGAAGUCCUAAGAGCCCGCACGGCGCA
rnacentral:tmRNA from 1 species